rnacentral:lncRNA from 1 species
AUACCAAAAACGAAAAUUGCCAUAAAAAUAAAGAAAAUUGGACUUAAUUGUUUAUUUAUUUAGUCAAAUAUUAUUAGACACAAAAUAGUCCAAUGAUGCUUCUCAAGAUGUGAAUUGGGCUUCAAGUUGGGCUCAAGCAUCUUCAUCCAAUUGUAAGAAAUUGAGCCAAGUUGGUUCAGCCUCCGAAGGAUAUCGAUCUUCUUUUUCUUUGAUCUUGAUGACUAGACUUUGUAAGGCUUGAUUCAUCCUCGUAGUCUUGG